rnacentral:rRNA from 1 species
UGCAGUCGAGCGGAAGGCCCUUCGGGGUACUCGAGCGGCGAACGGGUGAGUAACACGUGAGUAACCUGCCCUAGGCUUUGGGAUAACCCUCGGAAACGGGGGCUAAUACCGAAUAUUCAUUUCUGGCGGCAUCGUCGGGGGUGGAAAGUUUUUCGGCCUGGGAUGGGCUCGCGGCCUAUCAGCUUGUUGGUGGGGUGAUGGCCUACCAAGGCGACGACGGGUAGCCGGCCUGAGAGGGCGACCGGCCACACUGGGACUGAGACACGGCCCAGACUCCUACGGGAGGCAGCAGUGGGGAAUAUUGCACAAUGGGCGGAAGCCUGAUGCAGCGACGCCGCGUGAGGGAUGAAGGCCUUCGGGUUGUAAACCUCUUUCGACAGGGACGAAGCGCAAGUGACGGUACCUGGAGAAGAAGCGCCGGCCAACUACGUGCCAGCAGCCGCGGUAAGACGUAGGGCGCGAGCGUUGUCCGGAUUUAUUGGGCGUAAAGAGCUCGUAGGCGGCUUGUUGCGUCAGCUGUGAAAACCCGCAGCUCAACUGUGGGCUUGCAGCUGAUACGGGCAGGCUUGAGUUCGGUAGGGGAGACUGGAAUUCCUGGUGUAGCGGUGAAAUGCGCAGAUAUCAGGAGGAACACCGGUGGCGAAGGCGGGUCUCUGGGCCGAUACUGACGCUGAGGAGCGAAAGCGUGGGGAGCGAACAGGAUUAGAUACCCUGGUAGUCCACGCUGUAAACGUUGGGCGCUAGGUGUGGGGGGCCUCUCCGGUUCUCUGUGCCGCAGCUAACGCAUUAA